AGCUCAACGGUGGAGCAACCGGCUGUUAACCGGUAGGCUGUGGGUUCGAGCCCCACC
rnacentral:tRNA from 1 species